CUUAUGAUAUUUAUCAGCAAUUUAACUCAUUCUCAUAAAACAAGUUAUAUUGAAAUAAAAUUGGACAAGUAAUUAAAUAUGUUUUUUAUUUAAAUCACCUUCUUGGGGAAGGGGGCUUGUCAUCAUCAUUCCCUGGGUACCAUACUGUUGAGAUAUCAUGAUACUUAGAACUUGUUAGCACUUCUUAGCACAAAGUUUGCUUUUAAUAUUUUGCUUUUAGCUGUAGCUGGGUGGGUCAAUCAGCAAAUACCUAAUGCUAGGCACUUUCAUAGGCACUGUGGAGAAGUGGUGGACGCUGUAGACCCCUUGAGCAUUCUGGUGAGGACAGUCAGCAGUGUGGACAGUGCUAGAGUAGUAAGCACAGGGAGGAGGGGACUAGUCUGAAUUGUGAAGAGUCUGAGUAGUCUUGCUUGGACAUGAUGUCUUAAAUGUGUUCUGGCCAGGCAUGGUGUAGUCCCAGUGACUUGCCAGGCCGAGGCAGGAGAAUUGCAAGUUUGAGGCCCAUGUAGGCAACUUAGCUAGACCCUGUCUCAAAAUAAAAAAAUAUAGAAAGGGCUGGGAGUGUAGCUGAGGGAUAGAGUGCCCCUGGGUUGAAUUCCCAGUAUUGCAAAAGAAAAAGGAAAGAAAGAAAGAAACAAAAAACAAACAAACAAACAACAAAAAAAAACACAAUAAAAUGAAGUCUGAAGGACAAUUAAGAAUUGGGCCAGAGGGAUGAGAUAGUCUUUCUGGAGAGGGGGCAUUUAAUUCAUGUGAUAAGUUUUAACCAGCCUUUGAGAAGGAUGGCAUAGAGAGAAGGCAGCAGAGCAAUAUCUUCAUCUACUCUAGUUUUUUUUUGGAAAACCCAAUCCUGUGAGAAAAUGGCAUAAUUUUUGUGUGUAGUCCUUUUACUUGGGAAAUGUGUAGUGGUUUUGCAUCAGGCCUGCUGGGUAGGAAUCCUAGUUCCACAGGUUAUAGCUCUGUAACUUUGGCAAGUUACUUAACCUUUCUCUGCUUCAGUUCAUUCUUUUGAUCAUUCCUUCCUUUGGAUUGAAC
rnacentral:lncRNA from 1 species